UUAGCUAGUUGGUGAGGUAAAGGCUCACCAAGGCGACGAUCCGUAGCAGGUCUGAGAGGAUGAUCNGCCACACUGGGAGUGAGACACGGCCCAGACUCCUACGGGAGGCAGCAGUGGGGAAUUUUGGACAAUGGGCGAAAGCCUGAUCCAGCCAUUCCGCGUGUCUGAAGAAGGCCUUAGGGUUGUAAAGGACUUUUGUCUAGGAGCAAAUCGNNUUACUUAAUACGUGAGAUGGAUGAGNGUACUAGAAGAAUAAGCACCGGCUAACUNCGUGCCAGCAGCCGCGUAUNCGAUNUGCC
rnacentral:rRNA from 1 species